UUCCAGACUCCUACGGGAGGCAGCAGUGGGGAAUAUUGCACAAUGGGGGAAACCCUGAUGCAGCGACGCCGCGUGAGCGAUGAAGUAUUUCGGUAUGUAAAGCUCUAUCAGUAGGGAAGAAAAUGACGGUACCUGACUAAGAAGCCCCGGCUAACUACGUGCCAGCAGCCGCGGUAAUACGUAGGGGGCAAGCGUUAUCCGGAUUUACUGGGUGUAAAGGGAGCGUAGACGGCGGUGCAAGCCAGAUGUGAAAGCCCGGGGCUCAACCCCGGGACUGCAUUUGGAACUGUGCUGCUAGAGUGUCGGAGAGGCAGGCGGAAUUCCUAGUGUAGCGGUGAAAUGCGUAGAUAUUAGGAGGAACACCGGUGGCGAAGGCGGCCUGCUGGACUGUGACUGACGUUGAGGCCCGAAGGCGUGGGGAGCAAACAGGAUUAGAUACCCCAGUA
rnacentral:rRNA from 1 species